UGGAGAGUUUGAUCCUGGCUCAGGACGAACGCUGGCGGCGUGCUUAACACAUGCAAGUCGAACGAUGAAACCGCUUCGGUGGUGGAUUAGUGGCGAACGGGUGAGUAACACGUGGGCAAUCUGCCCUUCACUCUGGGACAAGCCCUGGAAACGGGGUCUAAUACCGGAUAACACUCUGUCCCGCAUGGGACGGGGUUGAAAGCUCCGGCGGUGAAGGAUGAGCCCGCGGCCUAUCAGCUUGUUGGUGGGGUAAUGGCCUACCAAGGCGACGACGGGUAGCCGGCCUGAGAGGGCGACCGGCCACACUGGGACUGAGACACGGCCCAGACUCCUACGGGAGGCAGCAGUGGGGAAUAUUGCACAAUGGGCGAAAGCCUGAUGCAGCGACGCCGCGUGAGGGAUGACGGCCUUCGGGUUGUAAACCUCUUUCAGCAGGGAAGAAGCGAAAGUGACGGUACCUGCAGAAGAAGCGCCGGCUAACUACGUGCCAGCAGCCGCGGUA
rnacentral:rRNA from 1 species